AAAAGAAUAACAAGUUGUGAACCUUAAAACAUUUUCUGUGCAAGUAUAAUAAAUAGGACAAGGGGCUAGGGUUAUGGGCUCAGUGGUAGAGCACUUGCUAGCAUGUGUGGGGCACUGGGUUUGAUUCUCAGCACCACAUACAAAUAAAUGAAUAAAAUAAAGAUUCAUCAACAUCUAAAAAAAAAAAAAAGAAAAAAUGGUAGAUCAUAUUGAAAACUUUUCUAGUGAACUCUAUUAUCUUCCUCUCUGCAGCAACUAGCCUCAUUAAUUUUUUGCUUUAUAACUGUGGGAUGUGUUUUUCCUCCACCUACUACCUCAAAAUGCUUUUGUUUCCAAGAGAAGGCCAAGAGUGGCAUUUGCUUGGAUCACUGUUUUUAAAUAGAAAACAAAUUAGUAGGAACUUUCACAAAAUGUCAACUGCUGCCUUUUUGUGGUACAAGGAAGGUUUGUGUAUAUUAGCAAAAAAAGUUUGACAUUCCUAUUGUAUUUCCAUUUCUUCCUCGCCUUCCGGUCCCCACCCCUUUGUUCUUUUUAUCAAGAAUUCCGAUGUAGUCAUGUGUCAAUCUGUGACAUAACAGCCAAACAAUUUCAGUAUUAUCUAAUCUUACAGUUUUCCUCAAAUUCAAAUUAGACCUUAAUAGGUAUGAGGCAUGAGAAAGAUUGCAAAAUAUAUGAGUAACAAUUAUAGCAUGUGCACAUACACACAGUGCCCUGAAGGCUCUUAUACUCACUUUGUUCUAAAAUAGAUUUACUGCCAUAAGCAAAAAAGUUUUUAGAAUGUAAAAAAUUUUGAGGGUCAUUAUGAAAGUAUUAUAGGCAAAGGUAUAAAAUGACACAAUUGAAAGAGUGGUAAAAUUAGAUGCAUUAAAUGAGAAAUAAUCAGAAAUGAUAAAGGGGACAUUUUUGAAAAGUAUGAGAACAUGCCCCCAUAUCACAAGGACAAGAAUAGGUACGUAAAAAUAAAGAUGAUAAGUAGUUCAGAUUCAAUCAAGGCAUUAAAUAGAGUACUACUGAACACUGUGCUGAACUCUGUUUAUGGUGAUAAAGUAGAAAUGGUCUGUGUCCUCAUUAACCGUUUUUUUUGAAGAAAGCAUUUGUAUUGAUAGGAAUACAAGAGGAAUGCCUAACCUGGGGUGCGGAGUGGAAGUCCCAGUUAGUCUUCCUGAGGAAUUGAUGUCUAAAUUGAGACUGAGAAUUAGGCAGCUUUAUGGGAGCAUCAUCUAACCCACUAUGUGAAGUCCCAGAGGUUGACCAAGGUUCAUAAGGAACAUUAAUGGAUGUGAAAAUGAAUAUGGCUAUUUCCUAGGGCAUCAAGAGAUGGGGCAACUAAUGUUAACCAGUAAGUUAGAGUCUUGGUUUUUAAUAGGCCAUAUUGAAGGAGUUAGAUUUAACCUGUGUGCAUUGAAGGACUUUAAAAUGGAAAAGGAGGUGUGUCAUGAUCAACAAUCUAUCAAUCUUCACAUAGAUUAGGAAGCUAAGAAGAGGGUAGAAAUCCUCUUGAGGUUAAAGAUGCCUGUGUUCUAUGUAAGGUUUGAGAACAUCACAAUGGAUCAAUAGGAAAUCUGAGAGGAAAUAUUGAAAGGAUUUGAAAAUAAAUGGCAUUUGGUAGAAGGGAAAGAAUGACUCUCAGGUUUUGCAUUUGGAUACCCGGUGGAGGACAUUGCCAUUUGCUAAUAGAGUGGUCACAAGGGUGUGCUCAGUUUUGGAAAGCAAUAUCAUUUCUGAGCUUAAGGUUCCUAUGGGGCAUUCUGUUUGGCUACGUGAAAUGUGCAAAUGGUAUCACUUAUAAAUAAAAGUUAGGAAUCAUUAAAAUGUAGGUGAUAAUUUGUAUGUAGACUGAAGAGAAGGCAGCUCGGAUAUGUACUACCUAGAUAUGACCUAUUUUGAGGAAAUUUGAUAAAAUAAUAAUAUCAACAACAACAACAACAACCAAAAGCUUGCUGGAUGGUAAAUUAGAGGGUGUUUGUUGUAUAGCGCAUCAACUUGCUAACGAGGCAAACACAAGAAAGAGAAUCUUACAAAAGAGGAUGAAUUAUAAGAAAAAUGUCCCUCCCAGAAGCCUGAGAUAGAACGUUUCAGGAGAAGAAAUGACUAAUAGUGUCACAUGCUGCUGAAGUAUAAGUGAGAUUUUUUUCCAGCAGGAAAUGAAAGGAUUUUUCAGAAUGAGGAAAGUAGUAGAAUUGGAGUAAGGAAAUGGAUGCUGUAAGUGUACAACAUAGGAUGUUAGGUGAAGAAGGCAAAUAGGAAACUGUAGCUACAGGAUGGGGUUUAAAUUGAGUUCUUUAUUUAAAUAGGUUUGUUUUCUUUUGAUGGGAUAGGGGAAUAGAAUAGUGUCAGUGUAUUAAGGUGAGAAUUAGGAGUCAGGGAAUAUAAUACAGAUAAGAUUACUGAGAUCCUAGUCAGAAGAGGAACAUAUCUCAGAUGGGGAGAAUGCCCACAGGAGGGAAAAAUACAUAGGUACAGAAUCUGAUUUUUGUACCUCUUUUUUUUCCUUUAAGCUUAUAUUAUACUCAUAUUUUAUAUUCUUUGUAACCGAGUAAAGGGAAUAGGUGAUAAUAGGUUUAGAGGAGAGGUCUGUAAACCUAUUUUGUAAAAGAUGAGAUAGUAAAUAUUUUAGUUUGCUGGUCCCUCAUACUUAAUUGUGCCAUGGAAGGAUAAAAGCAGCUAUAGCCAAUAUACAAACAAAUGAAUAUGUCUGUGUUCCAUUAGAGCCAUUUACAAAAGCAGGCAGCAAGCUAGAUUUGACCCUUGUACAAUGGUUUUCCAAGUUGAUAGGUUUGAGGUGAGCACAGGAGCUUUGAAAUAAAAACAAAUGCCAAGUGUCUUCUCUGAUAUAAGGGGGGUAACUCAAAAUGGGAUAGGGAGGAAGAGCAUGGGAGGAAGAUUAC
rnacentral:lncRNA from 1 species